rnacentral:rRNA from 1 species
UACGUAUGGUGCAAGCGUUAUCCGGAAUGACUGGGUGUAAAGGGAGCAUAGACGGUUGUACAAGUCUGAUGUGAAAGCCCACGGCUCAACUGUGGGAGUGCAUUGGAAACUGUAGAACUAGAGUAUCGGAGAGGCAAGUGGAAUUCCUAGUGUAGCGGUGAAAUGCGUAGAUAUUAGGAGGAACACCAGUGGCGAAGGCGGCUUGCUGGACGAAAACUGACGUUGAGGCUCGAAAGCGUGGGGAGCAAACAGG